UUCUGUGCGCACCAAAUGUUAUUUGAAGUAAUUCUACAACACAUCCCUGAAAACAAUAACAUAGUUUCCUUGGAAAAAAUGUAAUCUAAGAGUUUCUGCCACUUUUGGAACAUGAAUCUUAGUUACUAUCAGUCUAUAACCUCAAGAAAAUUCUCUAUGUUACAAGAAAUGGCUCUCCCAAAAAAGGAAUCAGAAGAGCAAAAGAGGUCAUAAAAACACACCAUUAAUCAUGAUCCAGUCUCACCAAUAAGGAUAUCCUUAUAAGGAGUAGGAACAUGUAAUGUAACUUUGGUUUCUUCAACUGGAUGGCUUCUUGUCUGAUCAUGAUGUUCCUCAAUCAAGGGAACCUGUCCUUCCCUAGCAUUUACCAGUCGCUCGUGCGCACCCGCCUUGCAGUUUCUCCAGCCUCAGUCCAUUCAUUUGUUGCAUCUUGAACACUUUGAUUACAUUUGUCAACCCACCUGCAUCGAAAAUAAUGGUUGGAUCUAUUUACUUAUCAUAAUGCCGAAUAACAAGUGUUCUCCAACUUAAUAGUUAAUUCACAUCAAUGUCUAACCUAAAGCUAAAAGGUUUCUCAAUCACAUUGCCUUCAAAUUCAUUUUGCAUGUAUAUAUACAUGGAAAGCAUGGUACCAAGAUUUGUUUCCCUUUAAAUGCUAAGUACCACUAUUAUACAUAAAUGUCAAUCAAAGACACAAUAUGGGACGGAUUAUGUAUAAAAAGGGCGACCCAAUACAUGAGGCUCUCACUUAGUGGAGUCUGAGAAUGAUAG
rnacentral:lncRNA from 1 species